AUGAGGUCUAGGUCCCAGGGAUUUGGCUUGCAUGACGACUCGUCGGAGAGGAUGCCUCCAUUUCCUCCCAGUUCAGCAUCUCAUGCACAAGAAGAACCCCAGCAGCAGCAACCGGUGAUCAUACCCAGAAGCACUACCCUGCGCUGGAACCCCUCUCCUACAGACACUAGAUGUCGGGUUAAUGAGGACGCUGAGCGCAGGUUUCAGCUGCUGUCAGGUUCAGUGCACAAGGUGGGGAUGGUAUUGGACUCGGUACAAACUGAUGUUAUUCAGUUAAACCGAACCAUGAAGGAGGCGUCGCUUGAAUCUGGUGGUGUGCUGCAAAAGUUUGAUCUCCUAGAGGAUACACUUCAGAAAAUUAUUAAAGGACAAAAUGAUCUGAAAGUACUUGCUGAAAACAGCACGAAAAGCAACUCUGAUCAGCUGAAUGUAAUCAACUCUCGCACCAGCAAAUUGAAUGAGAUGUCUUUGGCCGUUUCAGUCUGCCCAAAACAAGUGCGAGCAGAUUUAAGGGAGCUGCAUGGUGACAUCUUUAGGGUUCUUACAAAGGACAUGGAGGGGGUUGUUAGAGAUAUCAGGUCUCUGAGUACUACGCCUGCUGUAAUGCCAAUGCUGCCAGACCAUGUGGUAGCAAAAGGAAGUCCCCUGAUGAAAAAGAUGUCUGUAGCAAACGAAAGGCCUACAAUGAACCAGACAACAGUAGCAAAAGGAAGUCCCCUGAUGAACAAGAUGUCUGUAGCAAACGAAAGGCCUACAAUGAACCAGACACCAGUAGCAAAUGGACGGCCCCUGAUGAACCAAACACCAGUGGCAAAUGGAAGCCCCAUGAUCAUCAACCAGGCUCGAGUAGGAAAUGGAAGGUCCCAGCUGAAACAAACACCAGUUACAGAUGCAAUGCCCCAGAGGGAUCUAACACCAGAGAUAAAUGGAAGGCCCCAGAAGGACCGAAUACCAUUAGCAGAUGGAUGUCCCCAUAUGGAACAAAUAACACCAACAAAACCCCUUCCUGCACGUUCCACUUAUACUACAAGGGCGUCAGUUCUGAAGCCGAAGGUAGAACAGGGUAAGGUAAAAGCAGCUCACAUGGUUGGUACAAGCUACAGGCUAGCACCUUCACAGAAAGAGGAGUUGAAUGAAAAGGUCAAUCCCCAAGAGCCAACUAAGAAGGAACCAGUUAAAAUAAUCAUCGAUUCAGAUAAUGGCAGUAAAGCGUGCACUUCCCGGAUGAUUCUGAACAUGGAGCCAGCAAACGGAAGACCUACAAUGAACCAGACACCAGUAGCAAAUGGACUACCCCUGAUGAACCAAACACCAGUGGAAAAUGGAAGCCCCAUGGUCGUCAACCAAGCUCCAGUAGGAAAUGGAAGGUCCCAGCUGAAACAGACACCGGCAACAGAUGGAACGACCCAGAGGGAUCUAACACCAGAGAUAAGUGGAACUCCCCAGAAGGACCAAAUACCAGUAGCAAAUGGAAGGCCCCAUAUGGAACAAAUACUGGCAAAAAAAACCCUUCCUGCAUGUUCCACUUAUGCUACAAGGCCAUCAGUUCUGAAGCCAGAUGUAGAACAGGGCAAGGUAAAAGCAAAUCAUAUGGUUGGUACAAGCUACAGGGUAGCACCUACACAGAAAGAGGUGUUGAAUCAAAAGGUCAAUUCUCAAGAGCCAACUAAGAAGGAACCAGUUAAAAUAAUCAUCGAUUCAGAUAAUGACAGUAAAGGGUGCACUUCCCGGGCGAUUCUGAAGAUGGAACCAGCUCACCUGAUGAAGGAAGUCGGCAGCGAGUCGGGACCGCAGCUUGUGUGGGGUGCGAGGAAGAGGAGGACGAGAAGCGAGACACUGCCCAUUGAUGCCGCCACCUUGCUGCCAGGAGAAGGGGAGAAGAGGAUGCGGGGACCUGGACCAGAUGCACAGGAGGACGAGGCUGUUCAAGCGGUUGAAGCCGCUCCAGCAAAGCGGGCUCACCGGUUCAACCCCAAGUACGAUGCGACCCUGUGGAUCACCUGCUGA
rnacentral:rRNA from 1 species